GGACAUGCAGGUGAUCUGGCUGUGACAAUGGCUGCCCCACUGAUCACCAAGGUUGAGUCAGCGGCUCAGGCUGGUCAGAGGGGGGCUCCUCUUCACCUUCACCACUCUAGUGCAUCCCUCCUGAAGCUGCACCCUCAGUCAAAGAGGACCACACCCCCUCCUACACACAGAGGAAGACCGUCUCCUGGGUUAAGGGUUUACACGUAACUGUAUGGCCUUGCUAGGACCUCCAAACAAGCUCUCAAGUUGCUGCGUUGAGUAUGCCAACAGUUCUGCACACCUUACUAAAUUUCAUUCAAUAAAAUAAGGAUUUCUUAAAGU
rnacentral:snRNA from 1 species